rnacentral:rRNA from 1 species
CCAGAGAUGGUUCGUGCUCGAAAGAGAACCUGCACACAGGUGCUGCAUGGCUGUCGUCAGCUCGUGUCGUGAGAUGUUGGGUUAAGUCCCGCAACGAGCGCAACCCUUGCCAUCAGUUGCUACGAAAGGGCACUCUGAUGGGACUGCCGGUGACAAACCGGAGGAAGGUGGGGAUGACGUCAAGUCCUCAUGGCCCUUAUAGGUGGGGCUACACACGUCAUACAAUGGCCGGUACAAAGGGCAGCCAACCCGCGAGGGGGAGCCAAUCCCAUAAAGCCGGUCGUAGUCCGGAUCGCAGUCUGCAACUCGACUGCGUGAAGUCGGAAUCGCUAGUAAUCGUGGAUCAGCAUGUCAUGGUGAAUACGUUCCCGGGUCUU